AGAUUAAACUGAAGAGUUUGAUCCUGGCUCAGAUUGAACGCUGGCGGCAUGCCUUACACAUGCAAGUCGAACGGCA
rnacentral:rRNA from 1 species